rnacentral:sRNA from 1 species
CUUUUUUGAGGAAGACGCGGUCGUAGGGGUUGAGGAUUUUUGGUCCGCACGCUCCUGCUCCUGACUCACCGCUGUUCGCUCUCGCCGAGGAACAAGUCGGUCAGGAAGCCCGCGCGCAGCAGCCAUGGCUUUUAAGGAUACCGGAAAAACACCCGUGGAGCCGGAGGUGGCAAUUCACCGAAUUCGAAUCACCCUAACAAGCCGCAACGUAAAAUCCUUGGAAAAGGGUCAGUGCAUUCGUUAUGCGGUGGGGCGGGGGGGAGGGGGAAUUGGACAAAAAGCGACGAGCUUUACUCGUUAAUGUUAGUGUAGAAGGUGGACUCCAAGAACUAAAGUGACAAGUUACUUAAAAAAGUAAAGCAUGGCCUAAAAUUGCUUUUACUGUCAUACAGCUGGCGAUGAGGAGGUACCUAUUGUGUUGAGUAACGGUGAUAAUUUUAUACGCUAUUCUGAGCCAGCAGAAGUGAAGGCCUUAGGCCGAUUUUAAUUGUUUCGAUUAUACUGAGAGGUCUUUUAUUUCCUAUAGUGUGUGCUGACUUGAUAAGAGGCGCAAAAGAAAAGAAUCUCAAAGUGAAAGGACCAGUUCGAAUGCCUACCAAGACUUUGAGAAUCACUACAAGAAAAACUCCUUGUGGUGAAGGUUCUAAGACGUGGGAUCGUUUCCAGAUGAGAAUUCACAAGCGACUCAUUGACUUGCACAGUCCUUCUGAGAUUGUUAAGCAGAUUACUUCCAUCAGUAUUGAGCC